rnacentral:lncRNA from 1 species
UAUUUCGACAUCGUAGUGUAUUUUAUUAGUUUAUUUCAUAUCAUGCUCUACUACUCACCUUAUUACUAUUUGUUUGCUAUCCUUGCAUCUGAUAGAUUUAGUGGUGUAGGUCAUCAUUGUUAAUGACUAUACCCACUGACUGCGUUUGGUUCAGAUAUAAGUAAGAACUAUUUAUUCUAAAGAUAGGUACAAGUUUGGGCAUAAGCAAGAAUUAGACCAAUUUUGCGUUUGAAUAAAAAUUGGGUUAUUCAUAGGAAGAAAAUAAAUAGUAUUUGGAUGGUUAGAUUGGAACAAAGAGAAUAAGAGUUAUAAUUUUAAAUUAAAAUUAUUUUAUCUAAUUAAUUAACUUCAAAAUAUUACUUAAAAGUCAUUUAAUAAAUUAAUAAAUUUAUUAGCUAUGAAUAUUAUAUAAGACAAUAAAAAUAUGUUAAUUAAUUAAUUAAUUAUGAACAAUAAUUUAAUGUUUUAAUUGGUUAGUAAAUUAUUUUAGCAGGAUAACUAAUAAAAAAAAUUAAAAUUAAUUAGAUUAAUAGAAAUAUUAACGGUUGAUCAAUAAAUAUUAGUUUAUGAAUAAAUACAUUAAAUUAUUAAUAAUUAAUAAAUUAAUUAAUUAUUUUAUUAUUUAAGCAAUAAAUAAUGAUUAAAAUAUAUUAAUUAGAUUAAUUAAUGAUUUAAUGUCGUAAUUAAAAUUAAAUUUAGACUUUAAUUAACCUUAUUCUCACAAGGGAAUAGGCUUGUUCGAGGAAAAUGGGUGAACAGCAGUUCCAGCUUUAUACCAACUUAUUCUAGUAACCCGAGGACUACUGUUCUCAGGUACCAAACACGGCAUUUAGAAACAAAGGGGGGAGCAAGGGCUUAUUCCCCCUGUUCCCGAACCAAACACUGCCAGUGAAAACUAUUGAUUAUAGUCC